GUGGCAAGCGUUAUCCGGAUUUAUUGGGCGUAAAGCGAGCGCAGGCGGUUGCUUAGGUCUGAUGUGAAAGCCUUCGGCUUAACCGAAGCAGUGCAUCGGAAACCGGGCGACUUGAGCGCAGAAGAGGACAGUGGAAAUCCAUGUGUAGCGGUGGAAUGCGUAGAUAUAUGGAAGAACACCAGUGGCGAAGGCGGCUCUCUGGUCUGUAACUGACGCUGAGGCUCGAAAGCAUGGGUAGCGAACA
rnacentral:rRNA from 1 species